GAUGAACGCUGGCGGCGUGCCUAAUACAUGCAAGUCGAGCGAACGGACGAGAAGCUUGCUUCUCUGAUGUUAGCGGCGGACGGGUGAGUAACACGUGGAUAACCUACCUAUAAGACUGGGAUAACUUCGGGAAACCGGAGCUAAUACCGGAUGAUAUUUUGAACCGCAUGGUUCAAAAGUGAAAGACGGUCUUGCUGUCACUUAUAGAUGGAUCCGCGCUGCAUUAGCUAGUUGGUAAGGUAACGGCUUACCAAGGCAACGAUGCAUAGCCGACCUGAGAGGGUGAUCGGCCACACUGGAACUGAGACACGGUCCAGACUCCUACGGGAGGCAGCAGUAGGGAAUCUUCCGCAAUGGGUGAAAGCCUGACGGAGCAACGCCGCGUGAGUGAUGAAGGUCUUCGGAUCGUAAAACUCUGUUAUUAGGGAAGUACAUAUGUGUAAGUAACUGUGCACAUCUUGACGGUACCUAAUCAGAAAGCCACGGCUAACUACGUG
rnacentral:rRNA from 1 species